GAUGAACGCUGGCGGCGUGCCUAAUACAUGCAAGUCGAGCGAACAGAUGAGGAGCUUGCUCCUCUGACGUUAGCGGCGGACGGGUGAGUAACACGUGGAUAACCUACCUAUAAGACUGGGAUAACUUCGGGAAACCGGAGCUAAUACCGGAUAAUAUAUUGAACCGCAUGGUUCAAUAGUGAAAGACGGUUUUGCUGUCACUUAUAGAUGGAUCCGCGCCGCAUUAGCUAGUUGGUAAGGUAACGGCUUACCAAGGCAACGAUGCGUAGCCGACCUGAGAGGUGGAUCGGCCCAACUGGAACUGAGACACGGCCCAGACUCCUACGGGAGGCAGCAGUAGGGAAUCUUCCGCAAUGGGCGAAAGCCUGACGGAGCAACGCCGCGUGAGUGAUGAGGGUCUUCGGAUCGUAAAACUCUGUUAUUAGGGAAGAACAAAUGUGUAAGUAACUAUGCACGUCUUGACGGUACCUAAUCAGAAAGCCACGGCUAACUACGUG
rnacentral:rRNA from 1 species